UUGGGAGCAGUGGGGGUUCACUCACUGUAGCUUGACGUCACAUGCUCUGUCCACUGUUGGCUGUCAUUAUAAAAGCCUGGUGCCUCCCCUUUGUUCCCGCCUACGCCUGAGGAGCCAGUAGGAGGGUGUAGCUUCCUUCUAUGAUGCCAGCCGUGCCUGUCUGAAGGCAACAGUGAAAAUGCCGUGGGUCUCUAAGAGAACUUUGUGGUCUAGAAAAUGGAGAGCCAGAGCCAGUGAACAGAGGAGCCGACAUAGAACUGCAUGGACACAGAGAGCUCAGCAGGGCCCAGGCCCAGGAUGUGUGGGAGCCGAGUCCCUUUCCCUACCCCUUACUGUUUUUAAACAAAGUUCAGAGAAACAGCUGUCCAUCUGCUGCUGUAGGACAGACUACAGAUUUGAGAAGUUCACCCCCUGUUGAACUCUUUCCUCCCCAAAUGUGCAGUGCCACUGGGGGAUCAGUCUCCAUGGUUCCCAGAGAAUGUGUGCAGGUGGGGGGCGGGGAGGCAGGAAGAGCAAUAUUUGUUUCCCUUUCUAUCUCCUUAAAAAAAAAAAUGACAUCUUAAUCAUUUUAAAAAAAAUGACAUCUUAAUCAUUUAAAAAAAAAA
rnacentral:lncRNA from 1 species